GGUUUAGGGUGUAUGGAUCAGUUUGGAGUUCUUGAUUUCAGGUCUCAGGGUAGAGCGUUUCGGUUUUCAAGUUUCAGGUUUCGAGGUUUUUGGGUUUGGGGGUUGGGGGUUUGGAGGUUAGGGGUUUUAGGUUUCAAGGUUUAGACUUUUCGAGCUUUCGAGCUUUCGAGGUUUGUGGUUUUGGGGUACUUUAGGGUUUAUGGUUUAGGGGCUAAAGUUUAGGGUUUAUUGUUUACGGUUUACGGUUUUUAGGGAUUUAGGGUUUCGUGUUUUAGGUUUCGGGGUUUAAGAUGUAUGGAUCGAUUUGGGGUUUGUGAUUUCAGGCUCCGGGGUGGAGCGUUUGAGGUUUGAAGUUUGAGGUUUCGAGGUUUUGGGUUUAGAAGUUUUGGGGUUUGGGGGUUUGGAUUUUAGGGUUUCAGGUUUCGGGGUUUAGGGUGCAUGGAUCGGUUCGAGGUUCGUGAUUUCGAGCAUCGGGAUGGAGCGUUUGGAGUUUCAAGUUUUGGGUUUAGGAGUUUUGGGGUUUGAAGGUUUGGGGGUUUUGUGGUUCGUUUGUUGGGGUUCAAGGUUUCAAGGUUCUGUUUCAAGUUUCGGUUUCAGAGCAGAAGACAUGCAUCAAAAACCAAGGAGAGAGUAAAGAUCGUGCAAAACUAUAAGCAAGAAGAGGAAAAGGGAGCAUGCGAUCUUUUUAUAUUUUCUCUUCUAUAUGGUACUAUUUAAGAAAAGAUAAAUUCAAGAGAUAAGAAUAUGUAAAACUUUUAUUAUAUAUGUGUGUAUGGCUGCUAUUAUUGUAAAAAUAAAAAUAUGCUUUCAAUUGUUUAACUAACAAAAAUUUCAGCAAGGUUCAACUAAAGUUCCUA